rnacentral:rRNA from 1 species
GACGAACGCUGGCGGCGUGCUUAACACAUGCAAGUCGAACGGAAAGGCCCUGCUUUUGUGGGGUGCUCGAGUGGCGAACGGGUGAGUAACACGUGAGUAACCUGCCCUUGACUUUGGGAUAACUUCAGGAAACCGGGGCUAAUACCGGAUAGGAGCUCCUGCUGCAUGGUGGGGGUUGGAAAGUUUCGGCGGUUGGGGAUGGACUCGCGGCUUAUCAGCUUGUUGGUGGGGUAGUGGCUUACCAAGGCUUUGACGGGUAGCCGGCCUGAGAGGGUGACCGGCCACAUUGGGACUGAGAUACGGCCCAGACUCCUACGGGAGGCAACAGUGGGGAAUAUUGCACAAUGGGCGGAAGCCUGAUGCAGCAACGCCGCGUGCGGGAUGACGGCCUUCGGGUUGUAAACCGCUUUCGCCUGUGACGAAGCGUGAGUGACGGUAAUGGGUAAAGAAGCACCGGCUAACUACGU